rfam:Ipomoea nil DNA, scaffold: scaffold2821, cultivar: Tokyo-kokei standard.
GUCAGGAUGGCCGAGUGGUCUAAGGUGCCAAACUCAAAUUUUGGUCCUCGUGAAAGGGCGUGGGUUCAAAUCCCACUUCUAACA